CUACGGGAGGCAGCAGUGGGGAAUAUUGCACAAUGGGCGCAAGCCUGAUGCAGCCAUGCCGCGUGUAUGAAGAAGGCCGUUCGGGUUGUAAAGUACUUUCAGCAGUGAGGAAGGUGGGUAUGUUAAUAGCAUAUUCAUUUGACGUUAGCUGCAGAAGAAGCACCGGCUAACUCCGUGCCCAGCAGCCGCGGUAAUACGGAGGGUGCGAGCGUUAAUCGGAAUUACUGGGCGUAAAGCGCAUGCAGGUGGUUUGUUAAGUCAGAUGUGAAAGCCCCGGGGCUCAAACCUCGGAAUUGCAUUUGAAACUGGCAAACUAGAGUACUGUAGAGGGGGUAGAAUUUCAGGUGUAGCGGUGAAAUGCGUAGAGAUCUGAAGGAAUACCGGUGGCGAAGGCGGCCCCCUGGACAGAUACUGACACUCAGAUGCGAAAGCGUGGGGAGCAAACAGGAUUAGAUACCCUGGUAG
rnacentral:rRNA from 1 species